rnacentral:rRNA from 1 species
AUGACACUGAGGUGUUAUCCCAGAGGAUACCGGCGCAGGGGGAGACGAUUCUGGAGAUGCCGCAAGGCGAAAUCCCGGGUGCCCGGCUCAUGGGGGGAAAGACCCCCCAUGGAUCUUGACGACGGGGGCCGCAGCAAGUCCGGCUCCCGGCCGGACACUGCACCGGAACCUCGAAUGGUUCUGGAUUCAGGUAGGCAGCCCCUCGCUAAGGGGGGUGAGCCGCCUGUUAUGAUGACCUCUGUCCAACCAGAGGCAUCGGUCAAUUUGUUGGAAGCGCUUCACGACACUUCCAUUGACGAAGAGCACCGUACUCUUAUGAGUACGGUGAUUGAGAAGGUUCAGUCUGCCAAAAGCGGGUUGACCGAAGCAUGCGCCAGCCUCCUAACAGGCUUUGAGGCGUCGCUGCUGGCCGCUGCCGCCCGCACUGCUGAGGUCUCUGGACUAAAGAAGAACCUCGGGCGGGCCGAGGAAGAGCUCGGCCUCAUGAAGAGGCAGCUCGAGGAGAACAAGGGGGCCACGACCGAAGUGGCGGCCUUGAAGAAAGCGCUAUCCGAGGCUAAAGAUAGGGCGGCCAAGGAGCGCACCGAGCGCGAGAAGCAAGAUGCUCGGGUGAAUGAGGUCCAGCAAGAGCUCCAGGACUUCGUCAAAAAAUGUGAGUCCCUGGAGCGUGACUCCAAGAUGCGAGAGUCCAAGCUUGCGAAGGCCCUCCAGAGCAUGCAAGACGCGAAGGCCGAAGCCCAAAAGGCCCUCCAGGAGAUCCAGGUGGCCAAGAAGAUAGCGGCGGGUAAGGCAUUCAUUAUGCAAAGCAAGCAUGUGAAGGAAACUUUCCUUUUACUUACCCGAAUUCGGAGCUCUCUAGGAGUGUUCGACGAUCUGCCGCGCAGCAUAUCGGAUGCCGCGGAGUUCUACCAUGCGGAAGAGGGGAUCUUGACGGAGAAGCUGUUUUGGUCCCAGUAUAUUGAGGCCGAACAUCCGAUGCCCAUGAGCGACCAGCUGAAGCAGCUGGUCGAGCUACACAAGGCGGCCGAACUGGCCAUGAAGGACUUUAUAGUCCGGCUAUGGCCUGGCGAACCCCUGUCCGGCAGUUACUUCGGCCUUGUAAAGCGGAUGGUUCAUGCCUGUCCGCGGCUUGAAGUCAUUAAGCAGUCUGUCUGCAUUGAAGGUGCACGCAGGGCCCUCGCCCAUGUAAAAGUGCACUGGGCAAAGAUGGACGCCAAGAAGCUGGUGAAGGAGGGGCUGCCGAAGGACAAGGAGCAUCGUUACCCUGAGAAGUAUUAUGAGGGUGUCCUAAAGGGUGCCCUCCUUGUGGCGGAUGAGUGUGCUAAGGAUGUAAUAUUUGAGUGA